AAUAUUUAAUUGUCAGAGGUGAAAUUCUUGGAUUUAUGAAAGAUUAACUUCUGCGAAAGCAUCUGCCAAGGAUGUUUUCAUUAAUCAAGAACGAAAGUUAGGGGAUCGAAGACGAUCAGAUACCGUCGUAGUCUUAACCAUAAACGAUGCCGACCAGCGAUUAGGAGACGUUGAAUACAAAACACCACCAUCGGUGCGGUCGUCCUUGGCGUCUCGGUCCUUCACGGGGCCGGGGCGCGGGGGUGGCUUAGCCCGGUGGCACCGGUGAAUGACUCCCCUAGCAGCUUGUGAGAAA
rnacentral:rRNA from 1 species